UAAAAAUGUGAAAAAUACAGAAAACAAGGAAGUGAAUCAUCCAAAUGCAAUCAGAAGUGCAGUGUUUUUUAUCCUAAUUGUAAUCACAUUUUAUAUCUGACCAUGACCUUUUUAUGUUGUUGUUGUUGCUUAGCUGUGUGUGUCAUGCACCAUUUCCAGGCUACUGCAUGAGAAGGCCAACAUGUGUCUCCUAAUGUGUUUGGAUUCCUAGGUUCACCCUCAACUUCUCUGAAUCUCACAUGCCACUGAGGGGCCCCCCUCCAAUACCAUGGGGUGCCACCUCCUGAUCCCAUCCCCUUAGGGGGUGGGUUUCAACAUCUGAAUGGAGCGGGGCGCAGAUAUUCAGACCACGGUGUGCACAGCAUCAGAGAAGACCUGGAAACUGCAACCAGGAAGAGACCUCAUGCUCCCCGAAGGUCGAACACUACCAGCUCAAGUAUUUUCGGAUACACACUCAGAAGUGGGAUUGCUGGACGCUAUGGCCAUGCCGUUUUCCACAAGGGCCUCACCAUUGAAGACAUGCACAAGAGUUCUAAUUUCUCCAUCUCCUGACCGACACUGUUCCUUUCUGUUUUUUUUUUUUUCCAUAGUAGCCAUCUUGAAAAGUGGGACAUAAAUUUAUUUUUAAGUAUAAUUUCAUUUCACUCCGGUAAAGAAAACCUAUUUUCACUUGCCGUAAGUAGAAAGUAAAAAUAAAGUUUUCGCCUUCGCUGUCUAACCACCUUCCCACCUACCCCCAGUGGUGUUCAUACUCUUGAACUCCGGGCACAGCAGUGUGGGUUUCUCUGUUCCCUCCACCUGCUCUGUCCUUCCCCUGCUUCCCUUCGCCGGACUGAUGCUACCGAAAGCGAUAAGUCAGCACGUGCAGUAGGGAGAGUCCUACUUAUAAACUUCCGUGUAACAAACCACCCCAAAACUUCGCCCUUCAAACAACCACAAAUCCUUUCUUUUGCUCGGGAAUCUGCCCUUCAGCCAGGAUGUCUUGUGAUAUCCUAGGACUCAGCAGGGAUGACCCGACCGCUGGCAGAUUGGACUAGUAAGGGGCUGCCCAGGCCUUUCU